rnacentral:rRNA from 1 species
UAACGCUGCGGCAGGCCUAACACAUGCAAGUCGAGCGGCAGCGGGAAGUAGCUUGCUACUUUGCCGGCGAGCGGCGGACGGGUGAGUAAUGUCUGGGAAACUGCCUGAUGGAGGGGGAUAACUACUGGAAACGGUAGCUAAUACCGCAUAAUGUCGCAAGACCAAAGAGGGGGACCUUCGGGCCUCUUGCCAUCAGAUGUGCCCAGAUGGGAUUAGCUAGUAGGUGGGGUAAUGGCUCACCUAGGCGACGAUCCCUAGCUGGUCUGAGAGGAUGACCAGCCACACUGGAACUGAGACACGGUCCAGACUCCUACGGGAGGCAGCAGUGGGGAAUAUUGCACAAUGGGCGCAAGCCUGAUGCAGCCAUGCCGCGUGUGUGAAGAAGGCCUUCGGGUUGUAAAGCACUUUCAGCGAGGAGGAAGGCAUUAAGGUUAAUAACCUUAGUGAUUGACGUUACUCGCAGAAGAAGCACCGGCUAACUCCGUG